rnacentral:rRNA from 1 species
AGUUUGAUCAUGGCUCGAUUGAACGCUGGCGGGAUGCUUUACACAUGCAAGUCGAACGGCAGCACGGACUUCGGUCUGGUGGCGAGUGGCGAACGGGUGAGUAAUGUAUCGGAACGUGCCUAGUAGCGGGGGAUAACUACGCGAAAGCGUAGUAAUACCAUACGCCCUUCGGGGGGAAAGCAGGGGACCUUCGGGCCUCGCACUAUUGAAACGGCCGAUAUCGGAUUAGCUAGUUGGUGGGGUAACGGCUCGCAAGGCGACGAUCCGUAGCUGGUUUGAGAGGACGACCAGCCACACUGGGACUGAGACACGGCCCAGACUCCUACGGGAGGCAGCAGUGGGGAAUUUUGGACAAUGGGGAAACCCUGAUCCAGCCAUCCCGCGUGGAAAUGAAGGCCUUCAGUUUAUCAAGCACUUUUGGCAGGAAAGAAACGGCGCAGGAUAAUACCCCGAUGCAACCAGCAGUACCUGCAGAAUAAGCACCGGCUAACUACGUGCCAGCAGCCGCGGUAAUACGUAAGUGCAAGCGUUAAUCGGAAUUACUGGGCGUAAAGCGUGCGCAGGCGGUUCGGAAAGAAAGAUGUGAAAUCCCAGAGCUUAACUUUGGAACUGCAUUUUUAACUACCGAGCUAAAUUGUGUCAGAGGAGGUGGAAUUCCGCGUGUAGCAGUGAAAUGCGUAGAUAUGCGGAGGAACACCGAUGGCGAAAACAGCCUCCUGGGAUAACACUGACGCUCAUGCACGAAAGCGUGGAGCAGCAGGUUGGAUACCCUGGUAGUCCACCUAAAACGAUGUCGUGACUAAUGUUGGGCCUUUGGGCACAGCAGCGUCAGCGUACGAAGCCGAUGAUACGCCUGGAGCCAGUGCAGGUCAAAACUCAAGGAUUGAGGACCGCACACAAGCGGUGGAUGGUGUGGACAUUCGAUACAUUGCCGAAAAACCCACCUCUCUCAGCAUGUGGGAUGAGGGGUACGAGUGCCUCGCCGGAGACUGGAACACAGGUGCUGCAUGGCUGUCGUCAGCUCGUGUCGUGAGAUGUUGGGUUAAGUCCGCAACGAGCGCAACCCUUGUCAUUAGUUGCUACGAAAGGGCCUCUAAUGAGACUGCCGGUGACAAACCGGAGGAAGGUGGGGAUGACGUCAAGUCCUCAUGGCCCUUAUGGGUAGGGCUUCACACGUCAUACAAUGGUCAGGACAGAGGGUCGCCAACCCGCGAGGGGGAGCCAAUCCCAGAAACCCGAUCGUAGUCCGGAUCGCAGUCUGCAACUCGACUGCGUGAAGUCGGAAUCGCUAGUAAUCGCGGAUCAGCAUGUCGCGGUGAAUACGUUCCCGGUCUUGUACACCGCCCGUCACACCAUGGGAGUGGGUUUUACCAGAAGUAGUUAGCCUAACCGUAAGGAGGGCGAUUACACGGUAGGAUUCAUGACUGGGGUGAAGUCGUAACAAAGGUAA